GGGUUGUGAGGUUAAGCGACUAAGCGUACACGGUGGAUGCCCUGGCAGUCAGAGGCGAUGAAGGACGUGCUAAUCUGCGAAAAGCGUCGGUAAGGUGAUAUGAACCGUUAUAACCGGCGAUGUCCGAAUGGGGAAACCCAGUGUGAUUCGUCACACUAUCGUUAACUGAAUACAUAGGUUAACGAGGCGAACCGGGGGAACUGAAACAUCUAAGUACCCCGAGGAAAAGAAAUCAACCGAGAUUCCCCCAGUAGCGGCGAGCGAACGGGGAGCAGCCCAGAGUCUGAAUCAGCUUGUGUGUUAGUGGAACGGUCUGGAAAGUCCGACGGUACAGGGUGAUAGUCCCGUACACCAAAAUGCACAGGUUGUGAACUCGAAGAGUAGGGCGGGACACGUGGUAUCCUGUCUGAAUAUGGGGGGACCAUCCUCCAAGGCUAAAUACUCCUGACUGACCGAUAGUGAACCAGUACCGUGAGGGAAAGGCGAAAAGAACCCCGGCGAGGGGAGUGAAAAAGAACCUGAAACCGUGUACGUACAAGCAGUGGGAGCACCUUCGGGUGUGACUGCGUACCUUUUGUAUAAUGGGUCAGCGACUUAUAUUCUGUAGCAAGGUUAACCGUAUAGGGGAGCCGCAGGGAAACCGAGUCUUAACUGGGCGUUAAGUUGCAGGGUAUAGACCCGAAACCCGGUGAUCUAGCCAUGGGCAGGUUGAAGGUUGGGUAACACUAACUGGAGGACCGAACCGACUAAUGUUGAAAAAUUAGCGGAUGACUUGUGGCUGGGGGUGAAAGGCCAAUCAAACCGGGAGAUAGCUGGUUCUCCCCGAAAGCUAUUUAGGUAGCGCCUCGUGAACUCAUCUUCGGGGGUAGAGCACUGUUUCGGCUAGGGGGUCAUCCCGACUUACCAACCCGAUGCAAACUACGAAUACCGAAGAAUGUUAUCACGGGAGACACACGGCGGGUGCUAACGUCCGUCGUGAAGAGGGAAACAACCCAGACCGCCAGCUAAGGUCCCAAAGUCAUGGUUAAGUGGGAAACGAUGUGGGAAGGCACAGACAGCCAGGAUGUUGGCUUAGAAGCAGCCAUCAUUUAAAGAAAGCGUAAUAGCUCACUGGUCGAGUCGGCCUGCGCGGAAGAUGUAACGGGGCUAAACCAUGCACCGAAGCUGCGGCAGCGACACUAUGUGUUGUUGGGUAGGGGAGCGUUCUGUAAGCCUGCGAAGGUGUGCUGUGAGGCAUGCUGGAGGUAUCAGAAGUGCGAAUGCUGACAUAAGUAACGAUAAAGCGGGUGAAAAGCCCGCUCGCCGGAAGACCAAGGGUUCCUGUCCAACGUUAAUCGGGGCAGGGUGAGUCGACCCCUAAGGCGAGGCCGAAAGGCGUAGUCGAUGGGAAACAGGUUAAUAUUCCUGUACUUGGUGUUACUGCGAAGGGGGGACGGAGAAGGCUAUGUUAGCCGGGCGACGGUUGUCCCGGUUUAAGCAUGUAGGCUGGUUGUCCAGGCAAAUCCGGAUAAUCAAGGCUGAGGUGUGAUGACGAGGCACUACGGUGCUGAAGUAACAAAUGCCCUGCUUCCAGGAAAAGCCUCUAAGCAUCAGGUAACAUCAAAUCGUACCCCAAACCGACACAGGUGGUCAGGUAGAGAAUACCAAGGCGCUUGAGAGAACUCGGGUGAAGGAACUAGGCAAAAUGGUGCCGUAACUUCGGGAGAAGGCACGCUGGUGUGUAGGUGAAGUCCCUGCGGAUGGAGCUGAGACCAGUCGAAGAUACCAGCUGGCUGCAACUGUUUAUUAAAAACACAGCACUGUGCAAACACGAAAGUGGACGUAUACGGUGUGACGCCUGCCCGGUGCCGGAAGGUUAAUUGAUGGGGUUAUCCGUAAGGAGAAGCUCUUGAUCGAAGCCCCGGUAAACGGCGGCCGUAACUAUAACGGUCCUAAGGUAGCGAAAUUCCUUGUCGGGUAAGUUCCGACCUGCACGAAUGGCGUAAUGAUGGCCAGGCUGUCUCCACCCGAGACUCAGUGAAAUUGAACUCGCUGUGAAGAUGCAGUGUACCCGCGGCAAGACGGAAAGACCCCGUGAACCUUUACUAUAGCUUGACACUGAACAUUGAGCCUUGAUGUGUAGGAUAGGUGGGAGGCUUUGAAGCGUGGACGCCAGUCUGCGUGGAGCCAACCUUGAAAUACCACCCUUUAAUGUUUGAUGUUCUAACGUUGGCCCCUUAUCGGGGUUGCGGACAGUGUCUGGUGGGUAGUUUGACUGGGGCGGUCUCCUCCCAAAGCGUAACGGAGGAGCACGAAGGUUAGCUAAUCCUGGUCGGACAUCAGGAGGUUAGUGCAAUGGCAUAAGCUAGCUUGACUGCGAGCGUGACGGCGCGAGCAGGUGCGAAAGCAGGUCAUAGUGAUCCGGUGGUUCUGAAUGGAAGGGCCAUCGCUCAACGGAUAAAAGGUACUCCGGGGAUAACAGGCUGAUACCGCCCAAGAGUUCAUAUCGACGGCGGUGUUUGGCACCUCGAUGUCGGCUCAUCACAUCCUGGGGCUGAAGUAGGUCCCAAGGGUAUGGCUGUUCGCCAUUUAAAGUGGUACGCGAGCUGGGUUUAGAACGUCGUGAGACAGUUCGGUCCCUAUCUGCCGUGGGCGCUGGAGAAUUGAGGGGGGCUGCUCCUAGUACGAGAGGACCGGAGUGGACGCAUCACUGGUGUUCGGGUUGUCAUGCCAAUGGCACUGCCCGGUAGCUAAAUGCGGAAGAGAUAAGUGCUGAAAGCAUCUAAGCACGAAACUUGCCCCGAGAUGAGUUCUCCCUGAGACUUUAAGUCUCCUGAAGGAACGUUGAAGACGACGACGUUGAUAGGCCGGGUGUGUAAGCGCAGCGAUGCGUUGAGCUAACCGGUACUAAUGAACCGUGAGGCUUAACCUUACAACGCCGAAG
rnacentral:rRNA from 1 species